CCUACGGGUGGCAGCAGUGGGGGAUAUUGCACAAUGGUGGAAACACUGAAGCAGCGAAGCCGCGUGUGGGAAGAAGGUCCACUGGAUCGUAAACCACUGUUCUCAGGGACGAAAAUGACGGUCCCUUGCGCAGAAGCUUCGGCUAACUACGAGCCCGCCGCCGCGGUCAUACGCAGGGAGCGAGCGUUGUCCGGAAUUACGAGGUGUAAAGGGAUCGUAGGCGGGGAAGAAAGGUGGGUGUAAACACUUACGGCACAACUGGUAGUCGCACUUAAAACUGCAGCUCUUGAGUGAAAAAGAGGCAUGCGGAAUUCGGAGUGUAGCGGUGAAAUGCGUAGAUAUUAGGAGGAACUCCAGUGGCGAAGGCGGCCUGCUGGGCUUUCACUGACGCUGAGGCUCGAAAGUGUGGGGAGCAAACAGGAUUAGAUACCCCUGUAGUC
rnacentral:rRNA from 1 species